GGCGAGCCAAUUGCACCGCGGAAGUAAAGGGUGAGGCGACCGAGGAAGAUGGGGAGAAAGUUCGAAUUUCAUCAGAUUUGGGUUUCAGAAACCUAGAUUUUAGUGAGCCUAAAGGUGGAGGGAUGGCAGCGGAUGACGAUGAGCAACGCGAGAGGAAUUGCGGCACAAUGAUAAAGCCGUUUGCAUAGAAAAUCGAUGAAGACCACGAUCCAUGAUGAUAAUAAUUCAAGUUUGAAAACAGCUUUGGUGUGAAACUCACCGAGUUCCUCCACAUGGUGAGGAUCAAAGGUUCCCCAAGAGAGUUGGGUCAGUUUUUUCGGCGUAUAGGCACCAGCAGCAAGCUUUCG
rnacentral:misc_RNA from 1 species